GUCCGUUUGAAAGGGCACUAACGGACAAUCAUAAACAGAAAUCAACGCGUUUUUGAAAUUUUAUUGACAUUUUCAUGAAUAAGACGAACGGAUGAUUUUGGUUAUAUGGUCGAUAUCGCUGUUACAGGAAUACAUCUAGCUGCGGAUUGAUAUAGGGAUGCAACUCCCUGAAAAAAUACAUGCUUUCUAACUUCCUGACGAAGGAUCUUCACUCGAGACGUCAAAGUUCUCCUUGUAUUUCUCAGGUAGUUGUAUCCCUAUCAAUCCACAACUUUUUUAUUACCAGAGAGGUUCAAAACCAUAUCCGUACUGAAAUGUUGAGAAAUUCUGUGGUCCUGAGUACUUCUGGCUCUACAAACCAAAAUUCCAUGGUACGUUACGACUUUGUAGAAAACAGACUUAACUUUAGUGCCCAAUCCAGUGCUACAUUACAAUAGUAUACAUUACAAACAGAAUAUAAUAUAAUUGGUUACUAUAUUGUCACGUAUAGAUGGUUAAAUCAAUAUAGAAUCACUAAAUUAGACCAGUUCCAUGAUCGGAUAUCAAUGUUUUUCUGGCGGUACAACACACACAGGAGCAUGACUGUGGUGAACAACGUAAUCACUAACACUUCCAAGAAAUGUGCGACGCACAGCACCCUGACCACGUGACCCUAACACAACUAUAUUCGCAUGUUCUUCUUCACAAUUCUUAACAAUCAACUCUCCUGGUUUGCCACCUUCCUUCACCAGUUUAAACUUUAGCUGAAAACAUAAAUAAUAACCUUUAACGUAUUGUGAGCCAGGGUGAAACUGCCUAUUAUUAACUAAACUGACAUUAGCCUGAUCAAAUUAUUGUCAGUACAUGUUCUUGAAAAAUAACCUAAAAUAAUUUUCUAUUGGGGACACAAGGAAAGGAGUCACAGGACUGAUGAAGACAUGCCUUAAAAUAUCAGUCGGUCACAGACAUUGUCCGACCCAUUUGUGAAAUUGUCCGACGUACAAAGGAAACCACCGGACAUUCUGUCCAACCAAAGUGAAACUGAGGUUUAUUGCUUGUCCGACACGAGUGAAUUAGUGUCCAACCGAACUGUUGCUUUGACGCCUUUGUCCAACGUAAAUCAAAAUGUUGCCGGUGGCCAGGCCUUAAAAUAUCGGUUGGUCACGGACAUUGUCCGACCCAUUCGUGAAAUUGUCCGACGUAGAGAGGAAACCACCGGACAUUCUGUCCGACCGAAGUAAAACUGAGGUUUAUUGUUUGUCCGACCCGAGUGUAUUGACUAUUGGUGUCCGACCGAAAUGUAGCUUUGUCCGACGUAAAUAAAAAUGUACCCUAGUCUAGGACUACAG